rnacentral:rRNA from 1 species
CGAGAGCGUAGAGAAAGCUUGCUUUUUCUACAAUCUAGUGGCAAACGGGUGAGAUACGCGUAAACAACCUGCCCUACGGAUGGGGACAACAGCUGGAAACGGCUGCUAAUACCGAAUACGUUCCGAAAGUCGCAUGACUGUCGGAAGAAAGGAUGGCCUCUAUUUAUAAGCUAUCGCCGGAGGGGGGGUUUGCGUCUGAUUAGCUAGUUGGAGGGGUAACGGCCCACCAAGGCGACGAUCAGUAGCCGGUCUGAGAGGAUGAACGGCCACAUUGGAACUGAGACACGGUCCAGACUCCUACGGGAGGCAGCAGUNGGGAAUCUUCCGCAAUGGGCGAAAGCUUGACGGAGCAACGCCGCGUGAGUNAAGACGGCCUUCGGGUUGUAAAGCUCUGUUAUACGGACGAAUAGUCUUGUGGUUAAUACCCAUGAGAAGUGACGGUACCGUAAGAGAAAGCCACGGCUAACUACGUGCCAGCAGCCGCGGUAAUACGUAGGUGGCAAGCGUUGUCCGGAAUUAUUGGGCGUAAAGGGCGCGCAGGCGGCUUCUUAAGUCUGUCUUAAAAGUGCGGGGCUUAACCCCGUGAUGGGAUGGAAACUGGGAAGCUCAGAGUAUCGGAGAGGAAAGCGGAAUUCCUAGUGUAGCGGUGAAAUGCGUAGAUAUUAGGAGGAACACCAGUGGCGAAAGCGGCUUUCUGGACGAAAACUGACGCUGAGGCGCGAAAGCCAGGGGAGCGAACGGGAUUAGAUACCCCGGUAGUCCUGGCCGUAAACGAUGGGUACUAGGUGUAGGAGGUAUCGACCCCUUCUGUGCCGGAGUU